rnacentral:rRNA from 2 species
GUGAACAGCGGAGGGAUCAUUA